AUCCCUGUAGCGCAAUAGAUAGCGCGUUGGACUUCUAAUCCAAAGAUCGUGGGUUCGAAUUCUACCUGGGAUG